UAGCUUUAAAGGAGCACAUUUAAAGCUUCCGUCAUGGCAGAAUGGGCAAAGGUCAAUAAGUGAAGGGUCAAUAAAGGCAAUGUUUCAUGGAAUUAAAAGCUUGUUGAUGAGUAAAAUUGAGUUAUAAUUGUAGGCAUAAUGUCCAAGUAAUGCAGACUGUACUUUGUGUCAUGUUUCAUUUAAUGACAUGUCUGUUUCGAAACCACAGAUUCUCCUAAGAGUCCCAGCAUUGUUGUUUCUGGAAGUGAUCUGAAGGAGCAUCAGUCUAUCACUGUAACCUGCUCAGCUUAUACUCCCUGUUCACACUCACCUCCUGAACUCACCUGGAAUAUAAAAAAAGACUCUGUCACACAAAUAGAGAAAAAAACUGAUGGAGCCUUUACAACUAAAUUCCAGGAGACCAUCACUCUGUUAGACACACAUAAUGGAUUCGGCAUCAAAUGUUAUGCCAAAUAUCCUGUGAAAGGAGGAUUCAAACAGGCAGUUGCAAUAAAGACUCUCAGUGUUUCAUUUGCUCCUCAAGAGACCUUUGCAUCCAUCAGUCCAUCAGGUUUGGUGUCACCAGGUACCGGGGUGGUGCUGAGCUGCUCCACCAGAGCCCAACCUUCACCCAGCUUUGCCUGGUUCAAGAACAUCGGACAUGGACCCAUUAAAGUCUCUUCAACGAAGACUUUCAGCUUCAGUGUUACUGAGCGAGAAGCCUAUUACUGUGAGGUCAAAAAUAGCCUUGGGAGUGACAAAUC